UACGGGGGGGGCAAGCGUUGUUCGGAAUUACUGGGCGUAAAGGGCUCGUAGGCGGCCAACUAAGUCAGACGUGAAAUCCCUCGGCUUAACCGGGGAACUGCGUCUGAUACUGGAUGGCUUGAGAUUGGGAGAGGGAUGCGGAAUUCCAAGUGUAGCGGUGAAAUGCGUAGAUAUCUGGAGGAACACCGGUGGCGAAGGCGGCAUCCUGGACCAACACUGACGCUGAGGAGCGAAAGCCAGGGGAGCGAACGGG
rnacentral:rRNA from 1 species